UACGUAGGGAGCAAGCGUUGUCCGGAAUCAUUGGGCGUAAAGCGCGCGUAGGCGGCCUCAUAAGUCCGUUGUGAAAGUCAAAGGCUCAACCUUUGAAAGCCGAUGGAUACUGUGAGGCUAGAGUUCGGAAGAGGCGAGUGGAAUUCCUGGUGUAGCGGUGAAAUGCGCAGAUAUCAGGAGGAACACCAAUGGCGAAGGCAGCUCGCUGGGACGGUACUGACACUGAGACGCGAAAGCGUGGGGAGCAAACAGG
rnacentral:rRNA from 1 species